AAUGAUUUCACGAUAGUGGGAGCGAGUACGAGGCUCGGAGGAAUUGUGGAAUUAGUUCGAACGAUUAAUUUUCGAAAAAACGAACGUUAUUUAGGGGGUCUCAAAAAGUGACUUUUUAUACAUUGGGAAUUUGGGAAAACUUCCUUCAUGAAAGUUGUAGAGGACAUUAAACCGAGUGCGUGCAUAUGUGGUACGUAAAAAUCGGAGUUCGUAUGCGAAAGUUAUAAGCAAAAUAUGAAAGUUACUGUUUAUGGUAGAUUGGUAUAAAUUUGAAAUGUUACUGUAGCCAGGUAACUUUUCUUUCUUUUCUCUCUCCUUCCCCCGUGCUCUCUCAGUCUCUCUCUUCUGCAACUCUCUCUUUCUCUCUUCUGCAACCUCCUCUUUCACCACCUCUAGACCACCAAAUGGCGAGCUGCGAGCAUCGAUAGACUCGUCUCUUCCUCCUUAUCACGCAUGUGGGAGUUGUUUACGACGAUUUGGCCGGAAAUGUGGAGAUCGAAGCCAACAUUUUUACUGUAGCAAAUUAGUCAACGCCGAUUUCCGGCCACCUCCAGUCAUAAACCCAGGUCCAUUAGAAGCGCCUUAAGCCGCUCUUCAUGCUCGCCAAGUCUCAUAACCCAGAUCGAAGCAUGGAGGAAGAAAGCAUAAUUGGAAAAUUUCACUGUACAUCGGAGUGCUUAAUUGUUCGGCUACUUCAAGGUGAUUGACGGUUUGAGUUGGUGGACGAUUGUGGAUCGUAUUUUGAGCUGAAUUGAAGACGCAGCGGGAUUAUCGAGCGGGAAAUCCUACAGGACAGGAGAACCAGGACGGUGAUCGUGCGGUUAGAGCAAUUGUUAGAGUUUUACAGCAAUUGUAAGUUGUGAGGUGCGUUAUGCUCAUUUAGAGCUUUACAAUAUUGCUUGUGAGAGUGAAUUGUAAUAAUGAACUCGAGGUUUCGAGAUUUGGAGUUUGUGUACCGUGUGGUGAAGUUAUAUUGAGAAAAAAAAAUUCAGAAUGUUUAUUUGAUUAAAUGGUUUAAUUCAUGUUUCGGAUUUGAAUUUAUCAUUCAAAAUUCGGGGCGUGACAGUUUGGUAUCAGAGCGUAAGGUGCAUAUUUGGUGAUGUGUCAAUACCUUCCGAGUGAUGGCCCGUCUGCAGCGGAUCCCCAUCGUGUGCUCUUCGGUAUUGGCUAAGUCAUUGGGUAUGCGUGAGUGUUGGGAGUUGUUUAGGCCGCUAGGUCGUUUUAGGAACGUGAAUACCUUCCCUAUAGUAUUGACUUGGUUAAUAUGAAUUUGUAUUUGACUUAUACUGUGUUUUAGGUGUUAUACAUGUAUUAGCCAAGCAUACUAUACUCCUUAGGUGAUGGAGAUUCGAAGGGGUUGUACUUAGAACCUUACAGUUGUCUUGUAGGUUCGUAUUGGAAUAAGUUCAGUGGCCGCGAGUUACAAUCCUUGAGGAAUAGGAACCUCUUGAUUCAACUCUGUUAAGUCAACGAGGAUUGUUUUAUGGAAAUGAGGUUCUUUUGAUUGUUGAAGUGUUUGGUUGAAGGCAUGAUGUGGAUCUAUGCACGUACCUAGUGUGGAUACGAGUAUUGAUUGAUAGAAGUUUACCUUCUUAAGUUAGACGUACAUAUGUUUUUGGAUGAGAUGUACAUGUCAAAUAAUAGAUAUCUUGUUUUGUAAUGAGAUGUCCUUGUGGAGUUUGUUAGUAGGGUUGAGGUUAGGGAAGAAAUUAUUGUGGUUACUUCUUCCUUGUGCUUGUAAGUUGUU